UAAUGUGAAUAGAAAAAAGGAGCCCUGUGCAAUCAGGACUCCUUUUAGAACCGUUAGACGGUAGCAAAUCUAAAGUUUAAAUAACC
rnacentral:sRNA from 1 species